CUCGAACAUUUACAGUGUAUAUAUCAUCAAAAUAAAACCUGUAAAUAAAUCUGAUAUGAGUUCCAAAUGGAAAUUUACCAUUGGUUAUCGACAAUUGUUAUGAUUAUGACGAUUGAAUGACGUGAUAAUAAAAUAUCCAAUCAAAUACAUUGUGAUUCUAGAAUCACCAUGGAGAUAUAUGUAGUUAUAUAUAGAGAAAUAAUUCGAUUUUUAAUCACAUUUAUUGAAACUGUCGAGGAUGCCUUUUCACAGAUGGAAUAAAAGAAGAUAGAACUGUGUUGUUAAUUUUUUGGAGAAUGGAAUACAUACCAUAAAAGAGAACAAUAUGGCUGCAGAUAAAUUUUCAUGUGAAGAUUGUGGAAAAACUUUUACUCGAUUAUCAAAUUUACAUCGACAUCAUCGAUCAGCACAUAGAUCAAAUUCAUUUCGAUGUCAGACGUGUGGCAGAGACUUUAAAAGAAGAGAUAAUUAUUUACGUCAUACGAGAAUCAUCCUGAAAAUUCAGAUAAAGGGUCAUGUGCAUCUAUAAAGGAGGCAAAUACAAAGAUAGCCGAAAAUGAUGACAAAGAAAAUGUCUGCCCUAAUCAAACAGGCAGUGGAAACUCGUCGAACGAAAUCAAAGAAAAUGAAGAUGAAGAAGCAAAAGAGGAUUGUUUUUCAGAAGAAGAGACUAUAGAGGGUAAUUUAAAGAAAGUGUUUAUAGAAGCAACUGACAAAAGCAAAUACGA